AGACACGGCCCAGACUCCUACGGGAGGCAGCAGUAGGGAAUCUUCCGCAAUGGACGAAAGUCUGACGGAGCAACGCCGCGUGAGUGAUGAAGGUUUUCGGAUCGUAAAGCUCUGUUGUUAGGGAAGAACAAGUGCGAGAGUAACUGCUCGCACCUUGACGGUACCUAACCAGAAAGCCACGGCUAACUACGUGCCAGCAGCCGCGGUAAUACGUAGGUGGCAAGCGUUGUCCGGAAUUAUUGGGCGUAAAGGGCUCGCAGGCGGUUUCUUAAGUCUGAUGUGAAAGCCCCCGGCUCAACCGGGGAGGGUCAUUGGAAACUGGGAAACUUGAGUGCAGAAGAGGAGAGUGGAAUUCCACGUGUAGCGGUGAAAUGCGUAGAGAUGUGGAGGAACACCAGUGGCGAAGGCGACUCUCUGGUCUGUAACUGACGCUGAGGAGCGAAAGCGUGGGGAGCGAACAGGAUUAGAUACCCUGGUAGUCCACGCCGUAAACGAUGAGUGCUAAGUGUUAGGGGGUUUCCGCCCCUUAGUGCUGCAGCUAACGCAUUAAGCACUCCGCCUGGGGAGUACGGUCGCAAGACU
rnacentral:rRNA from 1 species